rnacentral:rRNA from 1 species
UACGAAGGGGGCUAGCGUUGCUCGGAAUCACUGGGCGUAAAGCGCACGUAGGCGGGUUCUUAAGUCAGGGGUGAAAUCCUGGAGCUCAACUCCAGAACUGCCUUCGAUACUGAGAGUCUCGAGUCCGGGAGAGGUGAGUGGAACUGCGAGUGUAGAGGUGAAAUUCGUAGAUAUUCGCAAGAACACCAGUGGCGAAGGCGGCUCACUGGCCCGGUACUGACGCUGAGGUGCGAAAGCGUGGGGAGCAAACAGG